CACGUAGGGUGCGAGCGUUGUCCGGAAUUAUUGGGCGUAAAGAGCUCGUAGGCGGUUUGUCGCGUCUGCUGUGAAAACUCGGGGCUUAACCCCGGGCCUGCAGUGGGUACGGGCAGACUAGAGUGCGGUAGGGGAGACUGGAAUUCCUGGUGUAGCGGUGAAAUGCGCAGAUAUCAGGAGGAACACCAAUGGCGAAGGCAGCUCGCUGGGACGGUACUGACGCUGAGGCGCGAAAGCGUGGGGAGCAAACAGG
rnacentral:rRNA from 1 species